rnacentral:rRNA from 1 species
GUGCCAGCAGCCGCGGUAAUACGGAGGGUGCAAGCGUUGUCCGGAUUUAUUGGGUUUAAAGGGUGCGUAGGUGGUUUGGCAAGUCUGGUUUGAAAGCUGGUCGCUCAACGAUCAGAUGUGGCUGGAAACUGCUGAACUUGAAUGGCGUAGCGGUAGCCGGAAUGGGUCAUGUAGCGGUGAAAUGCAUAGAUAUGACCCGGAACUCCGAUUGCGAAGGCAGGCUACUGGGCGUCGAUUGACACUGAGGCACGAGAGCAUGGGUAGCAAACAGGAUUAGAUACCCUGGUAGUCCAUGCCGUAAACGAUGAUUACUGGCUGUCUGCUCAAUCGAGUGGGUGGCUGAGCGAAAGCGUUAAGUAAUCCACCUGGGGAGUACGCCGGCAACGGUGAA